rnacentral:rRNA from 1 species
GAUGAAGCUAGCUACAGGCUUAACACAUGCAAGUCGAGGGGCAGCAUAGAAGUUAGCUUGCUAACUUCGGAUGGCGACCGGCGGAUGGGUGAGUAACACGUAUCCAACCUGGCCUUUACAAUGGGAUAGGCUUUCGAAAGAAAGAUUAAUACUGUAUGUUCCGUGAUCUCCGCAUGGAGAUUCCGGCAAAGAUUUAUCGGUAAAGGAUGGGGAUGCGUUCCAUUAGGCAGUAGGCGGGGUAACGGCCCACCUAACCAACGAUGGAUAGGGGUUCUGAGAGGAAGGUCCCCCACAUUGGAACUGAGACACGGUCCAAACUCCUACGGGAGGCAGCAGUGAGGAAUAUUGGUCAAUGGGCGAGAGCCUGAACCAGCCAAGUAGCGUGCAGGAAGACGGCCCUAUGGGUUGUAAACUGCUUUUGAAGGGGAAUAACAGAAUCUACGUGUAGAUUUAUGCAUGUACCUUUCGAAUAAGGAUCGGCUAACUCCGUGCCAGCAGCCGCGGUAAUACGGAGGAUCCGAGCGUUAUCCGGAUUUAUUGGGUUUAAAGGGUGCGUAGGCUGGUUUUUAAGUCAGCUGUGAAAUACCGACGCUUACCGUCGGCACUGCAGUUGAAACUGGGAACCUUGAGAGUGCAAGAGGCAUGCGGAAUUCAUGGUGUAGCGGUGAAAUGCAUAGAUAUCAUGAAGAACCCCGAUUGCGAAAGCAGCAUGCUGGGGCAUAUCUGACGCUGAGUCACGAAAGUGCGGGUAUCAAACAGGAUUAGAUACCCUGGUAGUCCGCACAGUAAACGAUGAAUACCAGCUGUUGGCGAUAGACAGUCAGCGGCGUAAGCGAAAGCGUUAAGUAUUCCACCUGGGGAGUACGCCGGCAACGGUGA